AGAAUUGUUAAAUUAAACAGAAAUACUUCAAAAUUUGACAGGAUGCUCUUUAAAAGUCGUACUUGGUGGUCAACUAAAAAUUGGAGUGUAAUGUAGUAUUUCUAAAAUCAAAUUUUGACGAAAAUUGUGAAUAUUAUGGCCUUUCAGAACACGUGUAACCGAACUUCGCUCCGAAUCGUUUUUCGUUAUCAAUGGUUUAUCGUUGUUUACUUGUAUAAAUUAAAUAACUUUAUGCAUACCACCGUCCCCGGUAUCGACUCUUUUUAUUAUUGUAUUAUUUGAAAAUCCGUUGACUCCUUACCUAUGUAUUCUGAUAAAAUUCCCAUCCAUCGCACAUCCAUAAUAUUAUGUGUCGUCCAGUAAGACAUCAAUUUAUACAAUAUUAUUAAUUAUUAAAAUAACAAGCAGUCAACAGUCAACCCGUAUUGAUUUUAUAAUAGCUAGGCUAUAUUAUAGGUACGCGUUAGUUCGACAGUAUUAGUAAUUCGCUACUACUUUGUCUGUUGUUAUUACUAUAAAAUCAAUGAUAGAAAUUUCGGCUUUACGAUUGUAUUAUUUCUCGACUGUAUAACCGAUCACAAGAAUGAUAGUACAAAUUAGAGAUGAGUAACAAUGAAUAAUAACUUUCGAAUUACUCGAUAGUUCCUGCGAAUGAGUUAUG